rnacentral:rRNA from 1 species
GAUGAACGCUGGCUACAGGCUUAACACAUGCAAGUCGAGGGGAAACGACGGGGAAGCUUGCUUCCCCGGGCGUCGACCGGCGCACGGGUGAGUAACGCGUAUCCAACCUGCCUCUGACUGAGGGAUAACCCGUCGAAAGUCGGCCUAAUACCUCAUGGCAUCGUCUGCGGGCAUCCAACGACGAUUAAAGAUUUCAUCGGUCAGGGAUGGGGAUGCGUCUGAUUAGCUUGUUGGCGGGGUAACGGCCCACCAAUGCUACGAUCAGUAGGGGUUCUGAGAGGAAGGUCCCCCACAUUGGAACUGAGACACGGUCCAAACUCCUACGGGAGGCAGCAGUGAGGAAUAUUGGUCAAUGGGCGGGAGCCUGAACCAGCCAAGUAGCGUGCAGGAUGACGGCCCUAUGGGUUGUAAACUGCUUUUAUGCGGGGAUAAAGUGAGGGACGUGUCCUUCAUUGCAGGUACCGCAUGAAUAAGGACCGGCUAAUUCCGUG